CAGAAUAAAUAUUAUAACACAUAUAUAACACAAUGAAAAUAUCAUGAAAAAUAGGAUUUUGACUACCAAGUGAUCCAAUGAAGAACAUCUGGUAAACUGCUGAUAGGGUCAGGGAGCCCAAAGCUCACUGAUGUGCAUGGGAGCAAAGGCUAUGAUUUUCAAUCAUGUGGAUGAACAGGAGUAUGUGUUUCAGUUUGCUGGGAAACAUUGGGUCCUGGCUUUCAUGUAGAUGUUACUUAGACACAUACCACCUAUCAAAUAGUAACAGUAGGUAUGCAUUCAGGACUCAUUGGGAAAUGCAUUAGCAUUUAAACAUAGCAUUAAACAUGGUCCAUAGCACACAUUUCUCUAUGGGGACUUAGAAAUAGUGCAGAAUUUGAAUUUAAUAAAUUCAGACUCAGAGUUCAGACCCUACCGUACUGUAGUUCUUUGCAUCGUUCUAUGUAUUCCCUAUCUGACUGUUAUGAGAGCCAUGAGGGCUCCCUCUGCUGGCCUGCAGAGGAUUUGCUGCACUUUAGCAUCAGGACUCUGUUUCCCACAAUUCAUUGCACCACCAACUCAGCACACCUGUUUCCUGUUUGCAAUCACCUGGUCUAUUUAAACUCACUCAGAACUCUUGGAUGUCGCAAACUUUUGGAUCUACAGUAACCUGUUCACGUGCAUGACACUAUCAUUGUUUAUCUGUAUAUUUCUGAUUUGUUGUUCUGUGAUUGUAUGCAAAAGCAAUAUAAAAUAGUAAGUGUUAAAACCUUAUGAUACUAAAAGAAACUUUAUGAUUAAAACGUCGACCUGUAUGAUUCUCACCUUGCGCUGGCAGGCGACACGCUCAUAGGCUUUGAUGAGGCGGUUUUUGUUGUACAUCAUCAAUCCGUAGUGAUCUUUGCUCUUCGUGUUGUAGCCAAAUGUGAUUGUUAUUCCCUUUUUCUGAGACAAAGACUUAAGGACCAUGGCAUUAAAAAUAUUUGAACAUUUAAUAAGUAGCUCUUACUAGUGUAUCAUUAGCUGUUUUUUUACAUUCUGGUGCUCUAUUUGUAAAAAGGAUACAAGACCAGCAGGUUUGUAUUUGUCUGUGAAGACAUUUACUAGACUCUUUGUGACAAACUGACUUUCCACUUUCUGGCCUUGGAUAACAAUCUGCAUUCUUGGCUUCAGGUAUAGAAUACUACAGUAUGCCUGAAGUAAGAGAGAAAUAAACAGCUUUGACUAUA